rnacentral:piRNA from 1 species
UGAAGGUUCGCUCAGUCAGGUAGUGAU